rnacentral:rRNA from 1 species
AGAGUUUGAUCCUGGCUCAGUUGAACGCUGGCGGCAGGCCUAACACAUGCAAGUCGAGCGGUAGCACAGAGAGCUUGCUCUCGGGUGACGAGCGGCGGACGGGUGAGUAAUGUCUGGGAAACUGCCUGAUGGAGGGGGAUAACUACUGGAAACGGUAGCUAAUACCGCAUAACGUCGCAAGACCAAAGUGGGGGACCUUCGGGCCUCACGCCAUCAGAUGUGCCCAGAUGGGAUUAGCUGGUAGGUGGGGUAACGGCUCACCUAGGCGACGAUCCCUAGCUGGUCUGAGAGGAUGACCAGCCACACUGGAACUGAGACACGGUCCAGACUCCUACGGGAGGCAGCAGUGGGGAAUAUUGCACAAUGGGCGCAAGCCUGAUGCAGCCAUGCCGCGUGUGUGAAGAAGGCCUUCGGGUUGUAAAGCACUUUCAGCGGGGAGGAAGGCGGUGAGGUUAAUAACCUCACCGAUUGACGUUACCCGCAGAAGAAGCACCGGCUAACUCCGUGCCAGCAGCCGCGGUAAUACGGAGGGUGCAAGCGUUAAUCGGAAUUACUGGGCGUAAAGCGCAC